UGCAAGGCAAAGAACAAAUGUGUUUGUCCCUUGCUCUAGUAAACCACUGAACAAGCUGAGAUCAGAAGUUAAUCAGUGAUGGCACUUGAUGUAUCAGUACUUCACGUGAAAUGACGACUUGAAGGAAAGGCCAAAUCGGCAAGUGACAGGAAGGUUAUCUGUGAUGUGACAGAAGAGAAAUGCUCCUUGCAGAAGCAUUUUGGAUGGCUGUCAGUAAAGAAAUCAGUACUCAUAAGAUCUGUUGAAGAAAGGUGUUGAGGAUGUAAGAUUAAAGCUGGACAAAACAUAUGGAUGAAAUACGGCCCAAUGAUCACAGAGAUGGGAAAGUCCAAGUCCAACUGGUGUCAAAGUAAGGGACCUCAUCAAAGAGUAUCCAAGAAUGAUUCUCCCGAGCCCUACUAGCCCCUGGUCCUCUCUCUGAGAAAGGUUUUUACAAGAUAACUACCAGAAGCAGUGAAGUGAAAGCCACAGAACUGGCAGACAUCAUCGGUGUCUAAUAGCUGAUGUCCUUCCUCCUUUUCUCCUGUUACAUAUUCUCUGUGAAAUGGUGUCAGUGCACAAGAGGACAAUCAAGCCUGCUUUUUAUUUUCCCAACCCGUCCUUACAGUGUACCUUGUCUCACCUCCCAGCAAACUGACAGCAACCUGUACCCAACAUGAAAAAAAAAUAACAAGCAGAUAGUACUCAAACAGCAAAAUCAACAUUCUUAUUCUUCAGUUAAUGACUAAUGUGAGCAAGACAAGAUCCAGCAACACUCCAACAGAACGGAAGAGAGUCCUUCAUUCCCAAAGUAUCAAUGGUAUGGUCAAUAGUUAAAUCCAAUAAAUGGUAUUUUUUCUCCUUCUUGAACCUGAAAGUUAAGAAAUGAGAGCUCUUUUUCUUACCUGAACAGGCUUUUCCAUGUGCAUGAAUUACUUAACUGACAUUGCCUUUCAAAAAGAGCUGCAAAUAUGUUAAGCCAGGAGGGUAAAGAAAAUGAACCUAUUCAUUAAUUAGCAUUGUCAUAUAGUCCAAAUAUGCACAGUAUGGAUUUGAAGAUGGAUCUCCACCUUUUGUGUAUAACUUGGCAGGUGUACAAGUGACAGCGUAUCAGCAUUUUGUGUAAACCCUUGUGAAAGUUCUGUCCUUUGUGAGAUAUGGAUUUAGGAGAGCCAACAUGUAGAUGGACAGGCGGUUAACAGAAAAUAGCAGGCUGAAGAGAAGAUACACACAUGCUAAGAAACAGCGUUUAAAUUCUUCUAAGGACUGAUGGUCCAGCUGAACCUGCAAAAACCGACAGAACUCCAAAUUGUACUGAACUUGUUCAAAGCAGCUGGUACAUAGUAGCAUCAACAAUGGGCUGUAUCACAUGGAUCAUAUCCAGGAAGGUGGAGGUUGCUGUAUUCUGACAAAGACCCUGGUGUAAUAGAUGCACACUAAAGGGUCUCCCAGCCACUCUCCCCGUUGGCCUCCUAUUGCUACUACUCCUACUCCAUCCACGUAACUGCAGGUAACCCUAUGAGAGCAUGUGUGUGUCUGAACUGUAAGUGGAUGUAUGGUGCGAAUUAAUUAUUAUAAAGCUGUGCCUAAUAAUGAAAGCUUGAUUCUAUUAAUAAUAUAAAUGUAUGUGAACCUAAGUAGUAAAAGAUGUUUUA